rnacentral:rRNA from 1 species
CAUGCCUUACACAUGCAAGUCGAACGGCAGCACGGGAGCAAUCCUGGUGGCGAGUGGCGAACGGGUGAGUAAUAUAUCGGAACGUGCCCAGUCGUGGGGGAUAACGUAGCGAAAGCUACGCUAAUACCGCAUACGAUCUACGGAUGAAAGCGGGGAUCGCAAGACCUCGCGCGAUUGGAGCGGCCGAUAUCAGAUUAGGUAGUUGGUGAGGUAAAGGCUCACCAAGCCGACGAUCUGUAGCUGGUCUGAGAGGACGACCAGCCACACUGGGACUGAGACACGGCCCAGACUCCUACGGGAGGCAGCAGUGGGAAUUUUGGACAAUGGGCGCAAGCCUGAUCCAGCAAUGCCGCGUGCAGGAUGAAGGCCUCGGGUUGUAAACUGCUUUGUACGGAACGAAACGGUGAGCUCUAAUACAGUUUGCUAAUGACGGUACCGUAAGAAUAAGCACCGGCUAACUACGUG